rnacentral:rRNA from 1 species
AUUGAACGCUGGCGGCAGGCUUAACACAUGCAAGUCGAGCGGGGUGAUGGUGCUUGCACUAUCACUUAGCGGCGGACGGGUGAGUAAUGCUUAGGAAUCUGCCUAUUAGUGGGGGACAACAUCUCGAAAGGGAUGCUAAUACCGCAUACGUCCUACGGGAGAAAGCAGGGGAUCUUCGGACCUUGCGCUAAUAGAUGAGCCUAAGUCGGAUUAGCUAGUUGGUGGGGUAAAGGCCUACCAAGGCGACGAUCUGUAGCGGGUCUGAGAGGAUGAUCCGCCAGACUGGGACUGAGACACGGCCCAGACUCCUACGGGAGGGAGCAGUGGGGAAUAUUGGACAAUGGGGGGAACCCUGAUCCAGCCAUGCCGCGUGUGUGAAGAAGGCCUUAUGGUUGUAAAGCACUUUAAGCGAGGAGGAGGCUCUUUUGGUUAAUACCCAAGAUGAGUGGACGUUACUCGCAGAAUAAGCACCGGCUAACUCUGUGCCAGCAGCCGCGGUAA